CAGUUAUAUUUAAUUUUUUAAAUUUUAUACUUUAAGUUAAUUAUUAUUAUUAUUAUUAUUAUUAUUAUGAUAUUUUUCUGUAUGAUGCGAAGUCUUACUAUAAAGACACGAAUUCAACUCGGAAGAAUCAGUGAGGCUAAAAUCGUAGAUCGUAAUCUAUGCACAGUACCACUGAAUUUUCCAAUAUAAAGUUCAAGAUAUCAAAAACAUAAAGAUGUCGAAAGUAAUAUUUGUCGUUGUUGCACUACUCAUUGUUAUUGUAAUGAUGGGACAAAUUGCUGAAGCUUGCAAAUCAGAUUUUCGUGACUGUCUCAGUAAUGAAGACUGCUGUUCAGGGGACUGUGCUAAACAUUUAGAUUUUCUGGGUGUUUGGUUUUGUGCUCCUCGUUUCGGAUAGAAAAAUAAUAACUUCACUUGUCCAUACAGUUUUUUGUGUCAUACACUGUAAAAAAUCACCGGGGUAAGUCCAAACGGUGUAGGUGUUAAAAUUAUCGGUGUUAAAUUUACCCCCGAAAGCGGUGUGAAAAUAACGUCGCCACCGGUGUAAAUAUUUUAUAACGGUGUUAAAAUAUUUUAUUUUGUGAAUAUUUUUACUUACUCGAUCACUAUACUUGUUAAUAAAUGAUAUUCUUUUUUAAUUUUCAUAAAGAACUGACAUUUUUUGUGUUUUAUAAUCUUUAAAGUUAAUAAUCCAAGCGGACGCAGAUUACCUUGCUUUUACACCGGUUAUCCCGCUUUUACACCGAUGUUACUCCGUUUUUAUACCGGUUACCCCGCCUUUACACCGAUUUUACUCCGCUUUUACACCGGUUACCCAGAUUUAACACCGGUAUUUUUAACACCGGUGUAAUUUUAUUUUAACACCGGGCGGAGUUAAAAUGAGUCUAUUUUUAACACCGCUCUUUUUACAGUGUAUAUAUCACUAAAUAAUUCCCUGUAGUUAAUAAUUUAUUUAAAUACAAUUUAAAUGCCCUCUAUGUAGUUAGAAGUUUUGCGUUGAAUUUAACAUUAAUCGGGUGUUCUAUAGAUUUUUUUGUUAAUUUAAUUAUUAACACAUUGUGUUUGUGUCGAUUGUUAACGCAAAUUUCAUGUUUAAUAAUUAUACACAUACACUGAAAAAAAUAAUCAGUAGCAGCUACCUAUAGGCAAUCGGUAGCCACUACCGAUUAUUUUUCGCUAGCCGCUACCGAUUAUUUCGGUACCAGUUACCUUAUUUUUAAUAACAACGACCGAUUUUCAGUGUAGAAUCUGUUAUUUUGACCUUUAUUUUUGUGUAAAUUAAACAAAUUUAUAGCAUUAAAAUUAACUAAUAAAUAUGUUUCACUUAAUAUUAAACUUGUAACAAAUAAAUUAUUUGAAUCUA